rnacentral:rRNA from 1 species
AUUGAACGCUGGCGGCAGGCCUAACACAUGCAAGUCGAACGAGUGGCGGACGGGUGAGUAAUGUCUGGGAAACUGCCCGAUGGAGGGGGAUAACUACUGGCAACGGUAGCUAAUACCGCAUACCAUCAGAUGUGCCCCGAUGUGAUUAGCUAGUAGGUGGGGUAAUGGCUCACCUAGGCGCCGAUCCCUAGCUGGUCUGAGAGGAUGACCAGCCACACGGGAACUGAGACACGGUCCAGACUCCUACGGGAGGCAGCAGUGGGGAAUAUUUCACAAUGGGCGCAAGCCUGAUGCAGCCAUGCCGCGUGUAUGAAGAAGGCCUUCGUGUUGUAAAGUACUUUCAGCGGGGAGGCGUUACCCGCAGAAGAAGCACCGGCUAACUCCGUGCCAGCAGCCGCGGUAAUAC